GGUCCGGUGGUGUAGCUGGUUAUCACAUCGUUCUUAUAGUAGAGUCUCAAACACUCUUCAUAUGCGAAGGUCCCGAGUUCAAUCCUCGGUCGGACCA